rnacentral:lncRNA from 1 species
AUAAAUAUGUCGGCGUUAGUUAUGAAUUAAGAAGAGAAAUUGAUCAAAUCGGAAAAUAAAAUGAAGUUACAUCAUUUCCGUUAUGAAGUUGCAACGCUCCGACGAAAGGUGGCGUACGGCCAGAGCUGCGUGAAGUCGAGGGAGUCACUACAGAGUCGUCGUGUCGAGCGGACGUGCACUGCCGUUCUAGUCGGGCAGUCUACCGCGAACCUUCGUCGUGAACGGACGUGUCGAAUAAUUACGAUCGGAACGUGGAGUGCUAUAGUCGCUCACCUAUAACUUGUAGGGACGUUAAGAAAGUGUGAUCGGAAAAGAGCACCUAGCAAGUACGUUCACAUGUCCCGAUGAUUCGGUCCGAAUGUUGGAACCAUGGGUGGUGGAGGGCCCCUUCGCGCUAACGUCCUUAUGCGCGCUAGAUAACGAGAGACUGUGUAACCGUUACGAAUACUGUGACGUUGCCGUGAGUGUGUACCUUAUGCUGUGACUUUAUUUAAUCGUGAUACAAAAACUAUGUGGAAGUAAAUAAAAUGAUUGUGAUACUGAUGACGGCCAUUAUUGUCUUCUAACGCCCACCCUCCAUUCUGAUGAUGAUGUUACGACCGACACCCACACUGCUACGACAUCAGAAGUGGGAUUAGUGAACUUGGAUGAAGACAACGUGAUGUGACGUUCACAACAAGACAAUGCAAGUUUCGAUUAUCACAAUCAGAAGAAGAUUAUGAUGAUUAUCACAUUCGUGUGACCACGUGAUGAAGAUGUAGUGUCAUGCCUGAAUUUGGAGAUGGACCUGAAUUUGAAGUGACCUGGACCUUGUUAAUGAUCGACAUCACUACAUGCCGUAAGAUAUGAUGGCGUGAACAUCACAAUAUGUCCAUACUGUGUGCAGUCGUGUUUGAAAAUUAUGGAACCUGAAAUUGAAAACUGUUAUUACGGUGAGUCGUUUUCAUACUGGAACCUUAUUGUUAUUGACUUCAUUGCUAUGUGUAUUUCCGUUUCUAAUAAUAAGGAAAUUGUUUGUUUUUAAAAUCAAAAUUGACGAGACAUAUGGUGUCAACCCGUGUCAAUCAUACCGCGUUUUCCAAUCUGUUUUCAUCAUCGUCAAAUCUUUGUAUUUUGGUCUAAAAAUAUUUUGAAUUGGUGUAGACACGCUUAACCUGCGUGGUUAAAGUUGUAUUUUCUCACUUCAAACAAAAAGAAAAUUAAUCAUGAAAUGAUAAUAAUUAACUCUAGUUAAAUCACGUGUUUUGUUAUCUACCGUCAUUCAUCAAAUCUUUUUAAACCGAUUGAAAGAAAGUCAUGUGAAUACGAUAAUACAGUGAAUUCUUUUGUUUCAUGUCAAAACUUUGCACGUGGUUCGGCAACUGGUGGAUUGCAAGCGGCAAUCCAAGUGGCGCGGGCUGAGCUGUAGCCGUGUAAAGUGACGACAUCGUGGCAGCGCGUUGUAUACCAGCCGGACUUGCUGCGCCGGCGCUGUUGCAGACCUAAACCAUGUCACAAGACCGUGGUUGAUCUUUUAUUGGAAAUUCUUAUAAGGCCUGGUGAGUCGUAUCUGUUUUACCUGAUUUGAAAGAUGGGAAGUUUUAAUAGGAUACAAACGAAUAUAGUGCAGAAAGUUCUCUUUUGUUAACUUUAGUUAAAUUAGAAAUCGUAAUGAAGUGAAGUAAACAUUGCGAAGUAAAAUGAUUUGGAUUAUGAUUAAGUGAAAUAGACUUGAAAAAAUGCCUCGAAGCGAAAUGCCUUCUGAGUUAAAUGUUACUGAUUUAGAGAGUGAAUAAGAUGUUACACGGCACACAUACUUUGGUAUUGUUAUUUUCUCUUUUGUUGUUGUGCUGCAUUUCCAGCGUAGUCGUAACUGCAGUCCCGUUAGAGGCUGUUCAGGGCGCGGUGUGCGACUGGAGGUGUGGUGAGUGUGUAGGUCCAUGGGGACCUGGUUUUAGUGGUAUAUGAUUACCUUGUGGAAAUGACCAAUGAUGGUCUGUUAUGAAAGUGGCAAAUGGUUGCCAAUGUUAUCACCGAGUAUUAAGGUGCACUGUGGCUCCAGCGUAGUCGUAACUGCAGUCCCGUUAGAGGCUGUUCAGGGCGCGGUGUGCGACUGGAGGUGUGGUGAUUGUUUAGGUCCAUGGGGACCUGGUUUUAGUGGUAUAUGAUUACCUUGUUGAGUUGACCAAUGGUGGUCUGUUAUGAAAGUGGCAAAUGGUUGCCAAUGUUGACUAAUCACCGAGUAUUUAUGUGCCCGUGUAUGUGUGUGUAAAAUGAACAGUCUAAGAUAUUUUUUUGAUUUUUUGAUCAUUGUUGUUGAUUGAGGCAUUCUUUCAAAUUGUUUACUCUGUGUGGUGAUGCACACGGGAAAUCCACUUGAUGGGGAUAUGUGUACUGAAGUCUUAUGUAGUCUCAAGUAGAGCUCAUGUAGUCUCAAGUAGAGCUCAUGUAGAGUCUCAAGUAGAGCUCAUGUAGAGUCUCAAGUAGAGCUCAUGUAGAGUCUCAAGUAGAGCUCAUGUAGAGUCUCAAGUAGAGCUCAUGUAGAGUCUCAAGUAGAGCUCAUGUAGAAGCUCAUGUAGAGCUCAUGUAGAGCUCAUGUAGAGCUCAUGUAGAGUCUCAAGUAGAGCUCGGACAGAGUCCUUUAGAGUCUCAUGUUAGGUCAGGAAUGACCGAGCGAACUUGGAUACUGUGCUGUGGUAUAUUGUUUCAGAUUAACACACGAGGACGUGUGUCACGCAGGAUGGCCGUGUCGGCGUUAGUUAUGAAUUAAGAAGAGAAAUUGAUCAAAUCGGAAAAUAAAAUGAAGUUACAUCAUUUCCGUUAUGAAGUUGCAACGCUCCGACGAAAGGUGGCGUACGGCCAGAGCUGCGUGAAGUCGAGGGAGUCACUACAGAGUCGUCGUGUCGAGCGGACGUGCACUGCCGUUCUAGUCGGGCAGUCUACCGCGAACCUUCGUCGUGAACGGACGUGUCGAAUAAUUACGAUCGGAACGUGGAGUGCUAUAGUCGCUCACCUAUAACUUGUAGGGACGUUAAGAAAGUGUGAUCGGAAAAGAGCACCUAGCAAGUACGUUCACAUGUCCCGAUGAUUCGGUCCGAAUGUUGGAACCAUGGGUGGUGGAGGGCCCCUUCGCGCUAACGUCCUUAUGCGCGCUAGAUAACGAGAGACUGUGUAACCGUUACGAAUACUGUGACGUUGCCGUGAGUGUGUACCUUAUGCUGUGACUUUAUUUAAUCGUGAUACAAAAACUAUGUGGAAGUAAAUAAAAUGAUUGUGAUACUGA